rnacentral:rRNA from 1 species
UACAGAGGGUGCGAGCGUUGUCCGGAAUCACUGGGCGUAAAGGGCGCGUAGGUGGCGACCCAAGUCGAUGGUGAAAGCUCGCCGCUCAACGGCGAGUCGGCCACCGAUACUGGGUUGCUCGAGCACUGUAGAGGCUAAUGGAAUUCCGGGUGUAGCGGUGGAAUGCGUAGAGAUCCGGAAGAACACCGGUGGCGAAGGCGGUUAGCUGGGCAGUUGCUGACACUGAGAGACGAAAGCUAGGGGAGCAAAUGGG